rnacentral:rRNA from 1 species
ACGUAGGUGGCGAGCGUUAUCCGGAAUUAUUGGGCGUAAAGAGCGCGCAGGUGGUUGAUUAAGUCUGAUGUGAAAGCCCACGGCUUAACCGUGGAGGGUCAUUGGAAACUGGUCGACUUGAGUGCAGAAGAGGGAAGUGGAAUUCCAUGUGUAGCGGUGAAAUGCGUAGAGAUAUGGAGGAACACCAGUGGCGAAGGCGGCUUCCUGGUCUGUAACUGACACUGAGGCGCGAAAGCGUGGGGAGCAAACAGGAUUAGAUACCCUGGUAGUCCACGCCGUAAACGAUGAGUGCUAAGUGUUGGGGGUCGAACCUCAGUGCUGAAGUUAACGCAUUAAGCACUCCGCCUGGGGGGUACGGUCGCAAGACUG